GACGAACGCUGGCGGCGUGCCUAAUACAUGCAAGUAGAACGCAGUUGCGAACGGGUGAGUAAUGCGUAGGUAACCUGCCUCAUAGCGGGGGUUAACUAUUGGAAACGAUAGCUAAUACCGACUACUGUGAGAUGGACCUGUUUUGGAUUAGCUAGUUGGUGGGGUAAAGGCUCACCAAGGCGACGAUACAUAGCCGACCUGAGAGGGUGAUCGGCCACACUGGGACUGAGACACGGCCCAGACUCCUACGGGAGGCAGCAGUAGGGAAUCUUGGGCAAUGGGCGAAAGUCUGACCGAGCGACGCCGCGUGAGUGAAGAAGGCUUUAGGGUCGUAAAACUCUGUUGUUAGGGAAGCGGUAUCUAACGAGAAAGCCACGGCUAACUCCGUGCCAGCCGCCGCGGUAAUAC
rnacentral:rRNA from 1 species